rnacentral:rRNA from 1 species
UAUACCUACGGGAGGCAGCAGUGGGGGAUAUUGCACAAUGGGGGGAACCCUGAUGCAGCGACGCCGCGUGGGUGAAGGAGCGUUUCGGCGCGUAAAGCCCUAUCGGCAGGGGAGAAGGAGGACGGUACCUGACUAAGAAGCCCCGGCUAACUACGUGCCAGCAGCCGCGGUAAUACGUAGGGGGCAAGCGUUAUCCGGAUUUACUGGGUGUAAAGGGAGCGUAGACGGCGAAGAAAGUCUGAAGUGAAAGCCCGCGGCUCAACCGCGGAAUGGCUUUGGAAACUUUUUUGCUGGAGUACCGGAGG